GAGAGCCGUGUGAUGGGUCACUAUCCAGCACGGUUCGGAGAGCACUUGUUGUCUGUCUGCAUUGGUAAAUAGAAGCCCCCCAUCAAGCAAGAAGGAAGCGGCUCUUCCCACGACGGAGUCACCAUUGACUCUAU
rnacentral:ncRNA from 1 species